GUCAAAGCGUUCAUUAAAGUCGAGUUGGCUUAGGGAUACGUUCGUUGGGUAGGGGAGCGUUCUGUAAGCCUGUGAAGGUGUGUCGUGAGGCAUGCUGGAGGUAUCAGAAGUGCGAAUGCUGACAUAAGUAACGAUAAAGCGGGUGAAAAGCCCGCUCGCCGGAAGACCAAGGGUUCCUGUCCAACGUUAAUCGGGGCAGGGUGAGUCGACCCCUAAGGCGAGGCCGAAAGGCGUAGUCGAUGGGAAACGGGUUAAUAUUCCCGUACUUGGUGUUACUGCGAAGGGGGGACGGAGAAGGCUAUGUUGGCCGGGCGACGGUUGUCCCGGUUUAAGCGUGUAGGUGUGUGUUCCAGGUAAAUCCGGUUCACUUUAACACUGAGGCGUGACGACGAGGCACUACGGUGCUGAAG
rnacentral:rRNA from 1 species